UACGGGAGGCAGCAGUGAGGAAUAUUGGUCAAUGGGCGCGAGCCUGAACCAGCCAAGUAGCGUGCAGGAUGACGGCCCUAUGGGUUGUAAACUGCUUUUAUGCGGGGAUAAAGUUCACUACGUGUAGUGUUUUGUAGGUACCGCAUGAAUAAGGACCGGCUAAUUCCGUGCCAGCAGCCGCGGUAAU
rnacentral:rRNA from 1 species